GAUGAACGCUGGCGGCGUGCUUAACACAUGCAAGUCGAACGGUGAAAGAGAGCUUGCUCUCUGGAUCGGUGGCGAACGGGUGAGUAACACGUGAGCAAUCUGCCCCUGACUCUGGGAUAAGCGCUGGAAACGGCGUCUAAUACCGGAUACGAGCUGCGAAGGCAUCUUCAGCAGCUGGAAAGAACUUCGGUCAGGGAUGAGCUCGCGGCCUAUCAGCUUGUUGGUGAGGUAGCGGCUCACCAAGGCGUCGACGGGUAGCCGGCCUGAGAGGGGAACCGGCCACACUGGGACUGAGACACGGCCCAGACUCCUACGGGAGGCAGCAGUGGGGAAUAUUGCACAAUGGGCGCAAGCCUGAUGCAGCAACGCCGCGUGAGGGACGACGGCCUUCGGGUUGUAAACCUCUUUUAGCAGGGAAGAAGCGAAAGUGACGGUACCUGCAGAAAAAGCACCGGCUAACUACGUGCCAGCAGCCGCAGUAACAC
rnacentral:rRNA from 1 species